rnacentral:rRNA from 1 species
UGUGUUAGUGGAAGCGUCUGGAAAGGCGCGCGAUACAGGGUGACAGCCCCGUACACAAAAAUACACAUAUUGUGAGCUCGAUGAGUAGGGCGGGACACGUGGUAUCCUGUCUGAAUAUGGGGGGACCAUCCUCCAAGGCUAAAUACUCCUGACUGACCGAUAGUGAACCAGUACCGUGAGGGAAAGGCGAAAAGAACCCCGGCGAGGGGAGUGAAAAAGAACCUGAAACCGUGUACGUACAAGCAGUGGGAGCACGCUUAGGCGUGUGACUGCGUACCUUUUGUAUAAUGGGUCAGCGACUUAUAUUCUGUAGCAAGGUUAACCGAAUAGGGGAGCCGAAGGGAAACCGAGUCUUAACUGGGCGUUAAGUUGCAGGGUAUAGACCCGAAACCCGGUGAUCUAGCCAUGGGCAGGUUGAAGGUUGGGUAACACUAACUGGAGGACCGAACCGACUAAUGUUGAAAAAUUAGCGGAUGACUUGUGGCUGGGGGUGAAAGGCCAAUCAAACCGGGAGAUAGCUGGUUCUCCCCGAAAGCUAUUUAGGUAGCGCCUCGUGAAUUCAUCUCCGGGGGUAGAGCACUGUUUCGGCA